UAAACUAGGAUUAGAUACCCUAUUAUUCUAAUAGGAGCAGAUGUUAAAAACUUGAGUAUUAGUAAUAAAUUAAUUUUAAAUUCAAAGAACCUGGCGGUACUUUAGUCUAGUUGGAGGAACCUGUUUUAUAAACGAUAAACCACGUAAAAUCUUUCUUGUUCUUGUAAAGUUAGUAUACCUUCAUUACAGAUAAUUUUGAUUGAUUAAUUAUUGUAAUUGAUCUUUAGGAUCAAGUAAAUUAGAUCAAGGUGCUGCAGAUGAGCAAGUAAAAAUGGGUUACAAUGGUUUUUAACGUUAAGCGGAAUAUAUUUAGAACAAAUAUAUGAAGAUGGAUUCAAUUGUAAUUUUAAUUUUAAUAAGGUAAAAUGGUAUUAGCUCUAAAGUGUGUACAUAUUGCCCGUCGCUUUCAUUAAGUCAAAUGAGAUAAGUCGUAACACAGUAGAUGUACUGGAAAGUGCAUA
rnacentral:rRNA from 1 species